rnacentral:lncRNA from 1 species
GUGGGUCUCAGGGCCAUAGACAGCCUUCGGGUGGGUCUCUUCAGAUUCGACUUGAGCAUUCGUUAUGACAUGUGGACAGAUGAUGAUUUAGAGUAUUGUUUGGACAUUGACUAGAAUAGUAAACAAUAGAACUUUACUAUUUCGCAUUGUGAACAUUAUGAUAGUUGGGGACUUUUACUUCAUGUAUGGUUGUUUCAUACUGAUGCUAUUUAGGCUAAGUAGAGAUAUCAUGUUGUAGUAAGUUACAUUUUACUUACCUUUCGCUUUCCUACAUUUAUAGUCACUAACCUCUUUUGUAGCUUUGGGCCUUGUGGUGCAUUCACUGAAGUCAGUAAUUGCCCACUGGGAACUAUUUUUGAUAGUUCUCACGCCCCUGUUUCUAUGUUUCCUUUUCAGAGCCUUCGGCACCGGCGGAGGCACGGGAUCGCGGCAAGGGGAUCGCGUAGCUAGCUAGCGAGGAGCUUACUUGCCUAGGUGGUUUACUCUUUCUUUUGUAGUUGAGAGAGUGAGAGUUUUUGUACCCUGUAUAGAGACCACCUAUGUAUCUACUCAUAGUACUUGUCUUUGGGAUUUCCUAUUGUAUUUACUUUAUGUUUUAUUUAGUGGACUUACAGUUUGAACUUUAUCCCUUGUUGUUAGCAAUUAGACAUUUUCUAUGCUCUGAUACUCCUAGAUGUCUUUUAUUAUUGCUCUUAUCAUCGUUGUUUUUAGACGCCUUAUAUGUUGUAGACAUAUGGCGGGUCUGGGCACGCGCCGGGCGGGCUUUCGUUGGGUCCCGGGGCGUGACACCUACGGGGUCGAGUGGGACAGACACAUUCCAAGAGUAGGGAUGUUGGGCUACCACAGGCACUUAGGCGGCACAAGCUGGACUACCUUGGGUAGGUCCCUAAUUGGAAAUAAAAAUCGACACGGUUUGAGAAUGAACAAUCACUACAAGACAGUUUGGUAGUUGGAUUACAUUUACAUGCAUAUAGCCUAGGGUUGAGACAUGUAGUAUACUUGACAGUUACCUAUUUCAUCACGGUAUACUUGGUUGCCAUGAUAGAGCUUAUACUUCAUGUAUGAAUAAAGGGUUGUAACAGUAAACUAUUGCCAUUGGUUACUUUUCCUUAUGAUAGAAUAGGUGUACAACAUUCGACAUCUUGCUUAUGAGGAAUAUAGUAGUAUAGCAUUCUACUUAUGCAUUCUCUUUCAGUAGUCAUUUACAUACUCCUUUUUAUUGCUUAUGGCUAUUAGCAUUACUUACCCUUGUUUUGGGGCCUAGUGGAGCAGGAGUUGAGGUCAGUAAUUGCCCACUGGGAACUAUAAAUUAUAGUUCUCACGCCCUCUUUUUCUCGAUGUUUUUCAGAGCCUUCCUCUCAGGGUGAGGCCAGGGACCGCGGGAAGGGAGUUGCUUCGAGCUAGCUUCCUACGAGGACGACUUGCUAGAUGGUCUACCUCUCGUUGUACUUUAUUUUGGAGAGGUUGAGAGUUUUACCAGGGUACUAGAGACCGCCAUUUUUGUAUUGGAGGCUAAUACUGUAUAACUUAUGUUUACCUUUAUGUAUUAGUUAUGUUCUAUUACUAUUUGUAUAGAUGUUAGAACUUUUCUUGCUCUGAUAUCAUUAGAUGCUUGUUAUUUCACUUCUUUUAUUUGACCCAUUCCUUGCUUUUACUUUCGCUUUUCUUGUAGACGCCUUAUAUGUGUAGACAUAUGGCGGGUCUUGGCACGCUACCGGGAGGGCCUCCGCCGGUCCCGAGGCGUGACAGAUUAAUUUGGUAUCAGAGCGAGUUAAGAGCAAGCAAAGAGAGAGUCUAGGAUGGACCUAGGAGACCCUAGGACGGUGAACCCUAAGGUUAUAGGUGCGUGAGUGCGACGUGAACCUAUACGGUGGCGGAAGUUGAUCGAUUGGGUCAAG